AAGGAAUAUUGCUCAAUGGGAGAAAUCCUGAAGCAGCAACGCCGCGUGGAGGAUGAAGGGUCUAUGACUUGUAAACUCCUGUAAAGAAGGAAAAAAUUCCCAUUAGAUGGGAGAUGAUGGUACUUCUGGAGUAAGCCCCGGCUAACUACGUGCCAGCAGCCGCGGUAAUACGUAGGGGGCAAGCGUUGUCCGGAUUUACUGGGUGUAAAGGCUGCUCAGGCGGAUUUGUAAGUCAGAGGUGAAAUCUUACAGCUUAACUGUGAAACUGCCUUUGAUACUGCAAGCCUAGAGUAUGGAAGAGAGUGAUGGAAUAUCUGGUGUAGCAGUGAAAUGCGUAGAUAUCAGAUAGAACACCAAUGGCGAAGGCAGUCACUUGGUCCAUUACUGACGCUAAAGCACGAAAGCGUGGGUAGCAAACA
rnacentral:rRNA from 1 species